GAUGAAGAACGCAGUGAAAUGCGAUAAGUAAUGUGAAUUGCAGAAUUCAGUGAAUCAUCGAAUCUUUGAACGCACAUUGCGCCCGCCAGUAUUCUGGCGGGUAUGCCUGUUCGAGCGUCAUUACAACCCUCAGGCCCCCGGGCCUGGCGUUGGGGAUCGGCGGAAGCCCCCUGCGGGCACAACGCCGUCCCCCAAAUACAGUGGCGGUCCCGCCGCAGCUUCCAUUGCGUAGUAGCUAACACCUCGCAACUGGAGAGCGGCGCGGCCACGCCGUAAAACACCCAACUUCUGAAUGUUGACCUCGAAUCAGGUAGGAAUACCCGCUGAACUUAAGCAUAUCAAUAAGCGGAGGA
rnacentral:misc_RNA from 1 species